GAUGAACGCUAGCGGUGCGCUUAACACAUGCAAGUCGAACGGAGUCAGAGGGCUUGCUCUCUGACUUAGUGGCGAACGGGCGAGUAUAAAGUUUGUACCUGCCCUGAAGUCGGGGAUAACGCGCCGAAAGGCGUGCUAAUACCGGAUGGUCCCGAGAGGGUAAAGCCGCAAGGCGCUUCAGGAGGGGCAUGCUCCCUAUCAGCUAGUUGGCGGGGUAAAGGCCCACCAAGGCUAUGACGGGUAGUUGGUCUGAGAGGACGGCCAGCCGCAAUGGGACUGAGACACGGCCCAUACUCCUACGGGAGGCAGCAGUGAGGAAUCUUCCGCAAUGGGCGAAAGCCUGACGGAGCGACACCGCGUGGAGGAUGACGCGUUUAUUCGUGUAAACUCCUUUUCUAUGGGAAGAUGAUGACGGUACCAUAGGAAUAAGGGACGGCUAACUACGUGCCAGCCGCCGCCGUAACAC
rnacentral:rRNA from 1 species